rnacentral:tRNA from 1 species
CGGAUCAUAGCGCAGCUUGGUAGCGCACUUGUCUGGGGGACAAGGGGUCACGGGUUCAAAUCCCGUUGGUCCGA